AGCGAACGCUGGCGGCAGGCCUAACACAUGCAAGUCGAACGAACUCUUCGGAGUUAGUGGCGGACGGGUGAGUAACACGUGGGAACGUGCCUUUUGGUUCGGCAUAACUCAGGGAAACUUGUGCUAAUACCGAAUGUGCCCUUCGGGGGAAAGAUUUAUCGCCAUUAUAGCGGCCCGCGUCUGAUUAGCUAGUUGGUGAGGUAACGGCUCACCAAGGCGACGAUCAGUAGCUGGUCUGAGAGGAUGACCAGCCACACUGGGACUGAGACACGGCCCAGACUCCUACGGGAGGCAGCAGUGGGGAAUCUUGCGCAAUGGGCGAAAGCCUGACGCAGCCAUGCCGCGUGAAUGAUGAAGGUCUUAGGAUUGUAAAAUUCUUUCACCGGGGACGAUAAUGACGGUACCCGGAGAAGAAGCCCCGGCUAACUUCGUG
rnacentral:rRNA from 1 species